rnacentral:misc_RNA from 1 species
GUCGAAGAAGGGCCUGAUUACUGUGUGAUCACCCCACCCGAGAGGGUGAAUAUGGCAGCAAUCGAUACAUAUGAUGAUCACAGGAUGGCGAUGGCAUUUUCGCUCGCUGCCUGUGCAGAUGUUGCAAUCACAAUUAAGGACCCUGGUUGCACACGGAAAACUUUUCCCGACUAUUUUGAAGUCCUCGAGAGAUUUACAAAGCACUGACAUGGUGUCGGAUGACUGAAUUGUUGCUGAAGUUUAGGCAGCGGAGAAGGGUUCUCAUUCCCUGUGCGAGCGGAAAUACUUCUUGUG